rnacentral:rRNA from 1 species
CCGGCCUUACAACAACCAAACAAGUUG